CCGCGGUAAUAGGGGAAACCCUGACCGAGCGACGCCGCGUGGGGGAUGAAGGCCCUUGGGUUGUAAACCCCUUUUGUUCGGGAAGAAAUGCGAUCAGGUGAAUAAUCUGGUCGUUUGACGGUACCGGACGAAUAAGCUCCGGCUAACUCCGUG
rnacentral:rRNA from 1 species